rnacentral:rRNA from 1 species
GUUUGAUCCUGGCUCAGGAUGAACGCUAGCGGCAGGCCUAAUACAUGCAAGUCGAGGGGCAGCAUAUUCUUCGGAAUGAUGGCGACCGGCGCACGGGUGCGUAACGCGUAUGCAAUUUACCUACUACUAAGGGAUAGCCCGGGGAAACUCGGAUUAAUACCUUAUAGAAUUAUUUGAUGGCAUCUGAAGAUAAUUAAAGAUUUAUCGGUAGUAGAUGAGCAUGCGUCUGAUUAGUUAGUUGGCGAGGUAACGGCUCACCAAGGCGAUGAUCAGUAGGGGGUCUGAGAGGAUGAUCCCCCACACUGGAACUGAGACACGGUCCAGACUCCUACGGGAGGCAGCAG